rnacentral:rRNA from 1 species
GACGAACGCUGGCGGCGUGCUUCAUGCAUGCAAGUCGAGCGGGGUCCAUCCAGUGGCAACACUGGUGAAGACCUAGCGGCGAACGGGUGAGUAACACGUGAGGAACCUGCCCCAGAGACCGGGAUAACCCUCCGAAAGGAGAGCUAAUACCGGAUGCCCCCACCGGAUCGCAUGGUCUGGUGAGGAAAUGGAUUCCGCUCUGGGAGGGCCUCGCGGCCUAUCAGCUUGUUUGUGAGGUAACAGCUCACCAAGGCGUCGACGGGUAGCUGGUCUGAGAGGACGGUCAGCCACACUGGGACUGAGACACGGCCCAGACUCCUACGGGAGGCAGCAGUAGGGAAUCUUGCACAAUGGGCGAAAGCCUGACGCAGCAACGCCGCGUGGGGGAUGAAGGCUCUCGGGUUGUAAACCCCUUUCAGCAGGGACGAUUGUGACGGUACCUGCAGAAGAAGGACCGGCCAACUACGUGCCAGCAGCCGCAGUAA